AACGCACAUUGCGCCCACUAGUAUUCUGGUGGGCAUGCCUGUUCGAGCGUCAUUUCAACCCUCAAGCCUGGCUUGGUGUUGGGGCCCUGCGCCUGCAGGCCCUUAAAUUCAGUGGCGGACACGCUAGGUCUCCGAGCGCAGUAGUUUCUUCUCGCUCAGGGCGUCCGGCGUGCGCUUGCCUCGCACCCAAUUUUAUCAAGGUUGACCUCGGAUCAGGUAGGAAUACCCGCUGAACUUAA
rnacentral:misc_RNA from 1 species